rnacentral:rRNA from 1 species
GACGAACGCUGGCGGCGUGCCUAACACAUGCAAGUCGAACGGAACUGUUUUGAAAGAUUUCUUCGGAAUGAAUUUGAUUUAGUUUAGUGGCGGACGGGUGAGUAACGCGUGAGUAACCUGCCUUCAAGAGGGGGAUAACAUUCUGAAAAGAAUGCUAAUACCGCAUGAUAUAUCGGAACCACAUGGUUUUGAUAUCAAAGAUUUUAUCGCUUGAAGAUGGACUCGCGUCCGAUUAGUUAGUUGGUGAGGUAACGGCUCACCAAGACCGCGAUCGGUAGCCGGACUGAGAGGUUGAACGGCCACAUUGGGACUGAGACACGGCCCAGACUCCUACGGGAGGCAGCAGUGGGGGAUAUUGCGCAAUGGGGGCAACCCUGACGCAGCAACGCCGCGUGAAGGAUGAAGGUUUUCGGAUUGUAAACUUCUUUUAUUAAGGACGAAAAAUGACGGUACUUAAUGAAUAAGCUC